rnacentral:lncRNA from 1 species
CUGACUUCUGAGAAGGUUGCGCAGCAGCUGUGCCCGGCAGUCUAGAGGCGCAGAAGAGGAAGCCAUCGCCUGGCCCCGGCUCUCUGGACCUUGUCUCGCUCGGGAGCGGAAACAGCGGCAGCCAGAGACUCACAGAUGAAUGCUUCUCACCCGGAAACAAACUUGCCAGUUGGGUAUCCUCCUCAGUAUCCACCGACAGCAUUCCAAGGUAAAAUCAGAUACUGAUUCAUCAGCAAAUUGAACUUCUGGAAGUUUUAACAGGUUUUGAAACUAAUAACAAAUAUGAAAUUAAGAACAGCUUUGGACAGAGGGUUUACUUUGCAGCGGAAGAUACUGAUUGCUGUACCCGAAAUUGCUGUGGGCCAUCUAGACCUUUUACCUUGAGGAUUAUUGAUAAUAUGGGUCAAGAAGUCAUAACUCUGGAGAGACCACUAAGAUGUAGCAGCUGUUGUUGUCCCUGCUGCCUUCAGGAGAUAGAAAUCCAAGCUCCUCCUGGUGUACCAAUAGGUUAUGUUAUUCAGACUUGGCACCCAUGUCUACCAAAGUUUACAAUUCAAAAUGAGAAAAGAGAGGAUGUACUAAAAAUAAGUGGUCCAUGUGUUGUGUGCAGCUGUUGUGGAGAUGUUGAUUUUGAGAUUAAAUCUCUUGAUGAACAGUGUGUGGUUGGCAAAAUUUCCAAGCACUGGACUGGAAUUUUGAGAGAGGCAUUUACAGACGCUGAUAACUUUGGAAUCCAGUUCCCUUUAGACCUUGAUGUUAAAAUGAAAGCUGUAAUGAUUGGUGCCUGUUUCCUCAUUGACUUCAUGUUUUUUGAAAGCACUGGCAGCCAGGAACAAAAAUCAGGAGUGUGGUAGUGGAUUAGUGAAAGUCUCCUCAGGAAAUCUGAAGUCUGUAUAUUGAUUGAGACUAUCUAAACUCAUACCUGUAUGAAUUAAGCUGUAAGGCCUGUAGCUCUGGUUGUAUACUUUUGCUUUUCAAAUUAUAGUUUAUCUUCUGUAUAACUGAUUUAUAAAGGUUUUUGUACAUUUUUUAAUACUCAUUGUCAAUUUGAGAAAAAGGACAUAUGAGUUUUUGCAUUUAUUAAUGAAACUUCCUUUGAAAAACUGCUUUGAAUUAUGAUCUCUGAUUCAUUGUCCAUUUUACUACCAAAUAUUAACUAAGGCCUUAUUAAUUUUUAUAUAAAUUAUAUCUUGUCCUAUUAAAUCUAGUUACAAUUUAUUUCAUGCAUAAGAGCUAAUGUUAUUUUGCAAAUGCCAUAUAUUCAAAAAAGCUCAAAGAUAAUUUUCUUUACUAUUAUGUUCAAAUAAUAUUCAAUAUGCAUAUUAUCUUUAAAAAGUUAAAUGUUUUUUUAAUCUUCAAGAAAUCAUGCUACACUUAACUUCUCCUAGAAGCUAAUCUAUACCAUAAUAUUUUCAUAUUCACAAGAUAUUAAAUUACCAAUUUUCAAAUUAUUGUUAGUAAAGAACAAAAUGAUUCUCUCCCAAAGAAAGACACAUUUUAAAUACUCCUUCACUCUAAAACUCUGGUAUUAUAACUUUUGAAAGUUAAUAUUUCUACAUGAAAUGUUUAGCUCUUACACUCUAUCCUUCCUAGAAAAUGGUAAUUGAGAUUACUCAGAUAUUAAUUAAAUACAAUAUCAUAUAUAUAUUCACAGAGUAUAAACCUAAAUAAUGAUCUAUUAGAUUCAAAUAUUUGAAAUAAAAACUUGAUUUUUUUGUA